rnacentral:rRNA from 1 species
GACGAACGCUGGCGGCGUGCUUAACACAUGCAAGUCGAACGGAAAGGCACUGCUUUUGUGGGGUGCUCGAGUGGCGAACGGGUGAGUAACACGUGAGUAACCUGCUCUUGACUUUGGGAUAACUUCAGGAAACUGGGGCUAAUAUCGGAUAGGAGCUCCCGCUGCAUGGUGGGGGUUGGAAAGUUGCGGCGGUUGGGGAUGGAUUCGCGGCUUAUCAGCUUGUUGGUGGGGUAGUGGCUUACCAAGGCUUUGACGGGUAGCCGGCCUGAGAGGGUGACCGGCGACAUGGCGACUGAGAGACGCACCAGACGGCAACGGGGGGCAGCGGUGGGGAGUAUGACACAGUGGGAGGGAGCCUGAGGAAGCAACGCCGCGUGCGGGAUGACGGCCUUCUGGUUGUAAACCGCUUUCGGCUGUGACGAAGCGGGAGUGACGGUAAUGGGUAAAGAAGCACCGGCUAACUACGUG